CCCCGUUGAGGUCCCAUUGAGGUCCUAUGGACCUCCAUUGAGUCCCUGUUGAGGUCCCAUUGAGGUCCCGUUGACCUCCAUUGGGCCCCAUUGACCUCCAUUGGGUCCCCGUUGACCUCUGUUGGGUCCCCAUUGACCUCCAUUGGGUCCCCGUUGAUCUCCAUUGGCCUCCAUUGGACCCCAUUGAGUCCCAUUGACCUCCAUUGAGUCCCCAUUGAUCCCCAUUGAGUCCCUACUGACCUCCAUUGGGUCUCCAUUGAGUCCCCAUUGACCUCCAUUGAGUCCCCAUUGAGCCCCAUUGACCUCUUCUGAGUCCCAUUGAGUC